ensembl:miRNA Mir3090 microRNA 3090
UUCCUGUCCCAGUGGUCUGGGUGGGGCCUGAGAUCCUGAAUUUCUAAUGAGCUCCCAGGUGACACCCUGACUCACUGUGCCAGAGGA